AACGAACGCUGGCGGCGCGUCUUAAGCAUGCAAGUCGGACGGCAAGAAGAGAGCUUGCUCUCUUCCUAGAGUGGCGGACUGGUGAGUAACACGUGGGUGACGUACCCUUUAGCUGGGGAUAGCCGGUAGAAAUACCGGGUAAUACCGAAUAAUCUUGCUUCUUUGAAGUGAAGUAAGGAAAGGAGCUUCGGCUUCACUGAAGGAACGGCCCGCGCACUAUUAGCUAGUUGGUGAGGUAACGGCUCACCAAGGCAACGAUAGUUAUCCGGCCUAAGAGGGUGAACGGACACAUUGGGACUGAGAUACGGCCCAGACUCCUACGGGAGGCAGCAGCUAAGAAUAUUCCGCAAUGGAGGAAACUCUGACGGAGCGACGCCGCGUGGAUGAUGAAGGUCGGAAGAUUGUAAAAUCCUUUAAGUAUGAUGAAUAACCUGAUCAGGAAAUGGGACAGGGAUGACCGUAAUACUUGAAUAAGCAACGGCUAAUUACGUG
rnacentral:rRNA from 1 species